rnacentral:rRNA from 1 species
AAACUUUCAACAACGGAUCUCUUGGUUCUGGCAUCGAUGAAGAACGCAGCGAAAUGCGAUAAGUAAUGUGAAUUGCAGACUUCAGUGAAUCAUCGAAUCUUUGAACGCACAUUGCGCCCGCCAGUAUUCUGGCGGGCAUGCCUGUUCGAGCGUCAUUU